UAAUCAUAAGUUUUUCAAAUUUAAAUAUUAACAAAUAAAAAAUCUUGAAAAUAAAAUAACAAGAAUAAUUUAUAAAUAUGUCUCAAGAAAUAGAACAUACACCAAUCAUUAUUAAUAACGAAGAAAAUGAAUCGGGAUACACUUUUGAUGCUCUAAUUAAUAAAAAUAAUAUUAAUAAAGAUGCUAUAAGAAAAUUAAAUUUUACACUAUCUGAAAAACAUAAUUUUAAAUAUAACUCAUUGAGAGAAGAUUAUACAUGAAUGAUGUCGUGGAUUAUAUUGAUGCUGGAUUAUGUUGAAUGAUUGGAUGAUUAUGUGGAUAAUUUGGAUAGGGCUCUGCUAUUUAGAAAUAGAACAACUAUUUCAACAGAGAAGACAAUUGAGAUCAACUCAAGUCUUAAACACUUUCAUAUGGGCAAAGGCCUAUUUAUAGGNAUCAAGAGAGUCGGUUACAAUUAUUGUUGCAAUCGUUUGAUUGCAAUACGACAUACAUAUUUACAUUAUAGCCCCCUAAACUAUUGAGGGUUACACACUUUAUGUUACAUCACAAAUAAUACAACCGACACUUAAUAAUUAUCCUACCGACACUUCUAUUUAAUUACGUAAAAAUAACAAUCCUUAAUUUAAGACACAUGUCCUUUCAACGUGGAAGGGAUUGUUAUUUUUACGUAAUUAAAUAGAAGUCUCGGUAGGAUAAUCAUUAAGUGUCCGUUGUAUUAUUUGUGAUGUAACAUAAUGUGUGUAACCCACAAUAGUUUAGGGGGCUAUAAUGUAAAUAUGUAUGUCGUAUUGCAAUCAAACGAUUGCAACAAUAAUUGUAACCGGCUCUCUUGAGCAUCAAAAGAGUAUUCCAGUUCAUUUUCUUCGUUAUUAAUAAUGAUGGGUGUAUAUUUUAUUUCUUGAGACAUAUUUAAUAAAUUAUUCUUGUUAUUUUGUCUUCAAGAUUUUUUCUUCGUUAAUAUUUAAACUUGAAAAACUCAUGAUUAUAAUUUUUAAAAAUGAUAAUUUAUUUUUUCUUCCAAAGUUACGAUUUAUAAAUUCUAAUAAGAUGUUGAUGGUGGGGUUUUUUAAUACUAUUAUAUUUAUGAUGAAGUUAGAGAACUAAAAACCUCUUUGACAUAUGAAAUGUGUUUCUAACUUCUUGGUACAUAGUCAUAAUUGUAAAAAACCUUCUACCGACAUAUGUUUAAAUUGUAGGUGGAUAGUAGUAUUUGAUUUUAAUAAUGAGUUUAUGAUAAUAACUUAUAACGAUGAAUGUUUGUAACGAUGAAUAUUUAUAAGAAUAUAUAUGAUGAUGCAUGAUGAACAUAUAUUCAUAUGAACGGAAGAUUUAAUAUUCAAAAUAAUAGUAAGAACGUUACUUAGCUCUGAUACCAAAUUUAAAAUAACAUGAUGACAGAUUAAUUGCUUUCAUACCAAAUUUAAAGCGAUGACGGAAUUAAUAAAGAUUAAGAGAAUAUUAUACCUGAAUAAUGCGGUGGAUUAUCUUGAUGAUGGAUUAUGUUGAAUAAUUGGAUGGUUAUGUGGAUAAUUUGGAUAGAACUCUGCUAUUCAGAAAUAGAACAACUAUUUCAACAGAGAAGACAAUUGAGAUCAACUCAAGUCUUAAACACUCAAACUUAAAUUGUUUAUUUCAUAUGGGCAAAGGCCCGAUUCAUAGGCUCAAGAGAGCCGGUUACAAUUAUUGUUGCAAUCGUUUGAUUGCAAUACGACAUACAUAUUUAUAUUAUAGCCCCCUAGACUAUUGAGGGUUACACACUUUAAGUUUGGCAAUUACAAUUACAUCAAUCUCACCCAUACCUCAAGUAUAUCAAAAGUGCCAACAACCAUAUAGCAGACACACUAACAAGAGAAUGGAAGCCAUCAUAAAGCAACCCAGAUAAGAAGCAACACUAUUCAUGGAAGACUAACACAAGAAUUAAAAAAUAUCUGCUUUUUUGGAGGCGGGAGGAAUCACGCAAGCAAUGCCAUAAAAAGCCAUUAUUGAAGAUUAACGGGAGGAAUAACGUAAGCAAUGACGUAAAAAGCCAUUAUUGAAGACACCUAAUGACGUAAUCAAUGACGUAAAAAGCCAUUAUUGAAGACACCUGUCUUUUCAAUGUGGAAGGGAUUAUUAUAUUUUUAAUUAUGUAAAGUGUUGGUAGAAUUAUUUGUAUUGUCGGUAGGANAAUUAUUAAGUGUCGGUUGUAUUAUUUGUGAUGUAACAUAAAGUGUGAAACCCUCAAUAGUCUAGGGGGCUAUAAUGUAAAUAUGUAUGUCGUAUUGCAAUCAAACGAUUGCAACAAUAAUUGUAACCGGCUCUCUUGAGCCUAUAAAUAGGGUUUUCGCAUAUAUGAAAUAAACAAGUUAAGUUUGAGUGUUUGAGACUUGAGUUGAUCUCAAUUGUCUUCUAUGUUGAAAUAGUUGUUCUAUUUCUGAAUAGUAGAGUUCUAUCCAAAUUAUCCACAUAAUCAUCCAAAUAUUCAACAUAAUCCAUCAUCAAUAUAAUCCACCGCAUCAUUUAGGUAUAAUCUUAUCUUAAUCUUUCUUAAUUCCGUCAUGUUGUUAAAUUUGGUAUCAGAGCAAUUAAUCCAUCAUCAUGUUAUUUUAAAUUUGGUAUAAGAGCUAAGUAACGUUCUUACUAUUAUUUUGAAUAUUAAAUCUUUCAUUCAUAUGAAUAUAUGUUCAUCAUGCAUCAUCAUAUAUAUUCUUAUAAAUAUUCAUCGUUACAGACAUUCAUCGUUAUAAGUUAUAAACUCAUUAUUAAAAUCAAAUAUUAUUAUCCACCUACAAUUUAAACAUAUGUCGGUAGAAGUUUUUUUACAAUUAUGACUAUGUACCAAGAAGUUAGAAACACAUUUCAUAUGUCAAAAAAGUUUUUAAUUCUCUGACUGCAUCAUAAAUAUAAUAGUAUUAAAAAACCCCACCAUCAACAUCUUAUUAGAAUUUAUAAAUCGUAACUUUGAAAAAAAAAUAUAAUAAAUAAAUAAAUUAUCAUUUUGUUUCUAAAAAUUAUAAUCAUAAGUUUUUCAAGUUUAAAUAUUAACAAAUAAAAAAUCUUGAAGCUGUUGAUGAAGAUGGCUUAGGGCCAUACAUAAAGUUAAAAUACUAUAGGAGUAUUUUAGAACGCUAAAAGAUUCACACUAAUCCCAGAAUCAUAAUCAGAAGAUAAGAAUCAAACAAGAAUUAAAAUACCAUACGGGUAUUUUAGGACACAUAAACAACCUUGCGUGAAUAACUAAAAAGAUCCUUAUUGAUAUACCUACAACUACAGAGGGUAUACUCCCAAGGUUAUAUAUAAUAAGGAUCCCAUAGGCUAAGAAUGUGUGGUUUCGCCCUAUUUCCUUUUCCUCGUUAGGAUGUGGAUCUAGAGUAGUAUCACAUAUUCGAAGGCCUAUCGGAUCUAAGCUAUAUAUGAUUUGUAUACCCUGUGUAAUCGUAGCAGGACUCGAUAUGGAUCAUACAGUAAAAUGUUAAUAAUCUCUUAGGAUUAUUUAGACAUUUCCAUUCUCGCGCGAACCCUGUAGAAAAACCCACUUCAGUGCUUGACAGAAGAGUUGAUUCCGACCCCGAGGAGGUUCAUCGAGAAGAUUUCCUGUUCGGAAAUAAAUGAACUGGGUCGAGACUAUUGAAUGCACCAAGUGCCCGUAUUCUUUUAGGGACAUUGGUGAGAAAUUUGCCUAAACUUCCGAGAUUCCAGUCAUCCAUCAUGAAGCGGUGACACCCAGAGUCGGAAUCAGAAGGAAGGCGGAGUAGAAAUUCAAUAUGUCCAUACGAGAAGAGAACCCUAGGAAACUACCCGAAGGAAACCAACGUCGGUUCCAGUCAAAGAUACGGGGAAGACCGAGGGAGCCAGUAUAUGGAACCCGGGAAUUGUCUUUUCCUCGUAUUCGUCACGAUAAUUCACCCUUAAAAUGAUACAAUUUAGUGAGUUAGUGGUUACACUACUCACGCUAUGUGUUAGGUAAAUCGUCGUUUCCCGUUGCCAGAUACACGAUUAGGGCGGAUCCCCGCAUCUCUAUUGAGAGAAUUUUAGCCAUCUGCCCUUGUGAGCCUCUCUUUCCGCAGUUUCGUUCCGAACCGUUCUCAAAUCUCUCCAGGCCGGAGAGUGAAACCUUUUCCAGUAUAAAGGUAACUUAGUAGGAACGACUCGCAUCUUAUGGCCUUUUUCCGAUACUCAUACACCCACUUCGAUUACCAGGACUACAUCAUAGGGAUGUAGGUCGACACUCAGACGAUCAGUACCCAAGGCACGGGAAAAGUUUAUGCCUACUACGUUCAGGACAGAAAUGUCCAGGGUUAACCAUCGUCUCUCAUUAUCUUCUAUUCCUUUCCGUGUAGGAAAACCAUGCCACCGAAGAAGCGUAACCAAUCCACAAGCAAGAAACCUGCUCUCUUAUUCGAUGAAGCUACGUUCCAAGCUGCAGUCUCAGCAGUCGUAGCAGCUGUCAUGGCUCACCUGAAUGCUAACACCGCCAAUGUUAGCAAGGGCCCUGUCGGGAUUUCCAAUCCUGGCAAUGGACAGCAGCAACCAACACUUUCAUACCCAGUCACCCAAGAACCUUCACCGAACCCACUAAAGAGAAAACUCAAGAUUGAGGAGGGAAGUACCUCGGCUCAAGGACCUUCCGAAGGGCAACGAGCUGAGGCAGUCUAUACCCCUGUCAAUCCUUCCCUCCCGACCUCAAGAAGACCAUACCUAGGAGACCUUCCCCACUGCAGCAAGUGCAGCUACCAUCAUCAUGGUGCCUGUCGGGAACUCUAUUGUGCUAGGUGCAACAUGAAGGGACAUACUGCUCGCGUAUGCAGAACUCCGGUGGAGCGUAUUACAUCAACCACCAAUGUGGCGACACGUGCAGUUUGCCACCUAUACGGUGAAGUGGGACACUUCAAGAAGGACUGCCCAACCGGAGGGAAAGACAAAGACACAGAAGGAGCCUGACACUACUGCUUAGGGAGAAGCGGCAAGGAACUCAUUAGAUUUUGGUACGUCUCUCGAUCUCGAAUAACAAAUCUAAGAACAAUAAAAGACUAAUUCAAAUGUAAAUUCUUCCUAGUAAGGCAAAAGUCGCAGCACUGCUAUAAAAUUUAAAAUUCAUUAGGUAAAACUAUAAUGGCUAAACAUAUACGUUACGACCAUGUAUAUUUAAGAUGGACAGACCUAGAGUGAGCGAAUGCCGCCUCAUUUCCUGUUUCUCGUUUGGUUGUGGAUUUAGGGCGGGGUCGCUCAGUCAACAGUCCUCCCCACCUUAAAUAUACAUGACUAGUAUAUGUGAGGCGAUUAUAGAAAUGCCUCGUGAGAAUCCGUUCAUGAAAAGAUACUCUAUUCGGAAACACUUAGGACUCUCUGUAGUUCUGCGUCGACUCUAUCGGUCCAAGUAUCCGCGGUAGUGAUACAUAGGACGAAACCCGAGACGCCUAGAACUUGUGUGCCUGUUCGGCACAUGACUCUAUCGAUCUUCACUUUACAUCAUGUCGGAGUGUGCCAACUUCGACGACUCUAUUGAUCAUGGUUUGACUUCGUGCAACCAUGUGUACAUUCUUAGUGUUGUGUAAAAGAACUUUCUCCAUAGCCAUGUCGGCAAAUAAAGGUUCUUCCGAACCUAAACCUAACUCAAAUAAUCAAACAUAAUGCGAUCCGUCAAUCGUUCCCCUUAUCUCAAACCUUCCGAAGUACCCAAGGGAGGGUACCGUACACUGUGACCGACCCCUCGUAGUCAGAUAAACACCGAAGCGAAAGGCACUGCAGAUACUCUAAGAAGACGACCACCAUCCGAAGCAUACUCCGUAGAAUCCCCCGAGAGACCCUUCGCACCUCGCACAUCAGGUUCGUGAACCCAGAGAAUAGAACUCAUAAGGCUGACCACUAUAACCAGGUAUACUGUUGGCAUACAUCAAGUAUUGGCGGUUAAGCCAAGCAUGAGCUCUACCACGGACCUCUUCGCAAAACACUCUCACCCUAUUCCAUAACAUAGGAGUCGGAGUCAAGAGAAUCACUGCGAGUUGAGCCAGUAAAUUUCCGAGUGAUGAAGACUCUAUACCCACUAGCUUUGACCUAGACCGAGAAAACUCAGAACCUUCGGAAGAGUAGUUGCAGUAGAUGCUCGCACUACUCAUGCACCUCGUCCACCCAGUUAUAGACAAGUGGUGCUUAUCAUCCUCCACCCUCUCGCAAGGAGGAAAUCGUCGUCGCCCUGUUGACGAUGAAUUACACUUUCCGAAUUGAACACUAGGAUACCGAGAACCACAGGAUAACCUUCGCAGCCAAGAAUACUUGGCCAUGUACGAAAGUAGUUACGUUAAGCCUCUUGACCCAUAUCCCAAAGAGAUCAUAGGCUUGACACCAGCCCUGGUGUUAGUCGAAGGGUUAUGCUGGAACAUGCACUUUCCACGCUAGAAUAAACCACAGUCUUAGAGAUUCCUUGAACUAUUAGGUGUUCCAUGAAUACUAUCUCACGCUGAGAUAGAAGAACCACCUCCCAAGAUAGUCCAACACUCGUCUAGUGAAACCCUAUCUCCACGACCCUCAGGGUUUUCGUAUCUCAAGCAUCGUUAGUGCAGGUCCAUUUUGCACGAGUUUGGGAUAGACCCUCUAUAGCAAAUCGAUAACCAUAGUCACGCAACCCACUCGACGAUCUAGAAAGUCUCUAUCAGCCAGUUGACAGGAAACGCGAAACCAAAGAGCACUUGAGAUUUCUAAGAACCAACCUGAAGGACUACACACACAGUACGAGUGAGAACGUUAGGAACUUCGGAAUGGCGAUCACACCAGUGAUGAUCUUGCCAUAGAAGUACACUAUGUACUUAGUACUGAAAAGCUCUACCCAUUCUGAGAGCUUAGGACCAUAUGAGAAUCCUUAUGGAGAUUUGGUCCAACCCUUUUCAGGCCGCUACUACCUUCGGAUACCCCGCAAGCUUCACACCUGAUCGAUCCACUCCUUAGACUUGAUACGUGAUUUCCCGACAACACUCUUCAUGCCUCACUCAUCUUGAUAUAAUCCAUUGAGAACCCUAACCUUGUAGAUACACCAGUUGGAACCCACUAGCUACACUAGACGGAAUCCGCAUCCCGUACGUGAAGGUCUGUCGGAAUGACAAACACAGACUGGAGUUCACUUGGGAAUGCGAGGACAACCGUAUAGGAAGUACUAUCUUACCUCUACUUGGCCAUUCAUACCUACUUCCUUGCUUAGACUUGAAUUUCGGGACGAAAUUCCCUCUAACGGGGGGAUGAUGUGACAACCCAAGUUGUCCCGUUACAUUUCCCCGUUACCGUUAACGGAAUAUUCCACUGUAUAAAAGUUCCGUUAAUUAGAGGGCGUCAAUUUAGUAAACAUUCCAUUUGUUUACAUUUAACAUGCCGUUAAGUCGUGAUAAAAGAAAAUAAAAACUCGUAUUACACAUUUCCAUUUAGUUGGAAAAGUUAGUUUUUAUUAUUACGACCACUAAAUCGGGUGCGACCAAAAGCCCCGUUUAACGGCAGUAUUGGGUAGAAUUCCACUGAGCCCCGACCCGGAACCCUAUAUAAGGGUGAGUGGAGUCCAUUUGGAGACUUUUUACCCUCUCUCUCUAUACUCUCUCUCUAGACUCGUUUUCGCCUCGAAUCCGCAACCAAACGCUUCCAAAUUGUAAGUCCGCUUACCCUAGCCUAUUCUAAACAUAUUGAUUCAUGUUUAUAGCUUAGAAAUCGAACCUAGAAGCUGUUGAAAAGGAGUUUACGACCUAAGCUCCUCCUUAGGCCGUAAACACCUAAAAUGAGGCCAAAAUGACCCCCAAAAGUCCCCAAAAGCUUGGAACUAAAUAUGGGAAUUAGCCUAGGAGUGUUUGCACAUUUAAAACAAUCAUUUUGAGGCCUAAAAGAGAGUUUACGGCCCAGGCAUAUGCCAAGGCCGUAAACACCUCUAAACUAAGUCAAAAUGCCUCCAAAACACUCCUACACCACCCUAGGAUUUAACACAUAAAUUAGGGGCUUAUUCUCUUGGGUUUAGAUCACUUAAACAUUAAGAAUUGGAGGAUUAAUAGGAGUUUACGGCCCAGACAUGUGUCAAGGCCGUAAACUCCCCAAACCAAGCCAAAAUGUUGGUUUUUGUCCCCCAAAUGGCCUUAGACAUUGACCAUAAAAUACUAGGAUUGAAUUAAGGGCUUAAACACAAGAAAUGGAGGGAUAAAAAGGAGUUUACGGCCCAAGCAAGUUUCUAGGCCGUAAACUCCCCAAAACACAUCCAAAUGAUGGUUUUAAUCCCCCAAAAUGGCAUCACACUCCAUUAGAAAUUGCUAGAAAGGUAAUAGGGGCUUAAAACUUCACUUAACUCUAAGAUUGAGAGUUUACGGUCGUAAACUCCUAUAAGGUUCCCUUAUAAGCCUUAAAACACUCAUGCCUUUUAUGAAAAGUACUUAGAAAAAUCCCAUGAACAAGCUAGAAGCCUUAAACACACUAGAACCCUUCACCAUGAGUUUACGGCCGUAAACUCAUGGUGAGUAGUCCCUGGGCCGUAAACAUGGUAUUAAGGGUUUACUCUUGGAGAGUAAACUCCAUUCCUAAGCCACACACACCUUUAGACGCUACCCGGGACACCCAAACACUUAUCCAAAGUGUUUUCCGCUCCUUUGAGCGCGUAUAUUUGUUUAAUUAGUAUUAAAUAUACUAAUUGUAUGUGAACAUAUGUUAUCAUAUGUUAAAUAGGUCAUUGUGUGUGUUCGAGUCCUUGCGUGACACCGAACGCCCAAACGGCACCUUCGUCGGACCUACUUACACCAGGUGAGUUCAUACCCCUGAAUGAACCUUUUAAAUGUUUUUACAUGUUUUAUAGGGGGGAAUACAAGUUAAACAUGCCAGUUAUCAUAUCAAUCACAUGUGAUUGAUAACCCGCAUGCACAAGAUUUUACCACACUGUACACUGUUUUACCGAGUAGGACACUAUAAUGGUUUUCAAAAAGGUUUUUCGUUUGUUUCAAGACUCUUAUUUAUACUGCUUUAUUUAAAACUCACUUUAAACUGGUUUAUAAAGGUUUUACAAGAUUUUAAUCAAAGUUCUCUUUCACAACGUAUACUUUUACUUGUUUGUUACUGCUGCUUCGCUUUUACUUAUUUAAAACUCCUACUUGAUAACGCAUUUCCUUCGUGAUACGCUUAUACCGGUUAUUGUCUCUAUAUCGCUUAUACUUGUAGCCACUUAUACUUGAUAGACGCUUUUACUUCACCAGUUGUCGUUUCCACUUCGUGAUACACUUAUACUUGGUACACUUAUACUUCACGAUUCGAUUAUCCCACACUGUACGCUUAUACUUCACGACUCGGAUAUUCCACUGUACGCUUAUACUUCACGACUCGGAUAUUCCACUGUACGCUUAUACUUCACAAGUCGGUUAUUCCACACUGUACACUUAUACUUCACGAUAUGAUUCCACUUGAUACACACUCAAGCGUAGUUAGAUGUAUGUCUGUGCUUGUAUAGAUGCAUAUAAAUAAUGAUUGAAGGACUUAGGAAGGCUUGUCCGCCCUAUUUCCUUUUCUUCGUUGAGAUGUGGUCUGGUGGGAUCGGAUGUCCAUCCGAAGGUCGUUUGAUUCAUUAGUUAUAUAUUAUGUACACAAGCAUAGACAUAUGGGUUUACUUUAGUCAAUUCAGUUAUGAGUCUCUACCUCUAGUUCAGCACUUACAUUAGAAACCCACUAUUUGGAAGUCUCUACCCACUAUUUGGGAUGCAUCUUCAGGACACGGCCUUCUCCGUCGUCUAGUUGGUAACCAGAGUCUCCUGUAGGGAGAGCGGACAUUGUGUGUAUAGAUCUAUACGGGAUUGACACCCCCGCACCCUGACUGCUAGCUACAGUCCACGGCCUACCAAGCCAAGGGGUGACAAAUGUCAUAUUCUCUAGACGCUUGUAGGGCGUCUGGUUCUCUAGUGUCGAUUAGUAUGGUUACGAGUAUCCCAGGUUUCCUUAUAAUUCAUGGUCUUAAGGUAACGGUAUUCACCGACAAUUUACACUGUAUGCUGGUAACUCAUUUUCAGAGUCACACUGUUUUGACCUUGCGAAAUGUAUCCUUCAUUUGAUACUGUCUGCGGUCUGUAUUCUCUGUUUUGACCUUGCAAGAUGUAUCUUUCAUUUGAUACUGUCUGUGGUCUGUAUUCUCCGUUUUGACGUUGCAAGAUGCAUCUAUCGUUUGAUACUGUCUGCGGUCUGUAUUCACUGUUUUAGACCCUUCCAGCUGUACCUUUCAUUUGGUACCUUAUGGGGUCUGUGUGUUCUUUUGUUAGGCUGAACCAGGCGUGUCGUUCGUUCGAUAUUCUCCUGGAGUAUAUGAUUCCUUUGCCUUAGUCAGCAGUCCUCACUGUUCUGGCAUAUGUAUUUUCCCUGACUUCUCUUGCUUUCUUUAAUAAUCAAAUUCUGUAUUUUGAUAAUGAUAGGGAUUAAGGGAAAACUACUUUUUACCACACUAACUCCGUCCAGUCUUGGUAGAAGACUGCUUUAUUUAAAGAAAAUAUAGGAUUUUCUUGAAAGUACUCUAAUACACUGUAAAUUCUUAAACUACCACAUUAUAAAGUUAUUUGGAUAAAAAGUCACUAAAUGCUUACGAACUCACCAGCAUUUGUAAAAAUGCUGAUACUCGCUUUUCAAAUAACUUGUAUUCUCAGGUUAGCAUUAGACAGGUACAUCCCCAGAGUUGUUGAUGAAAAUAGCUUAGUACCAUGUCAUACUUAAUUAUAUUUACUUGUAUUACUUUGAUGUAUUGUAAUGUAACCAUGUAAAAUUAUUACUAUUUAUGCAAUGUUUUGUUGUACUUUGAUUAUUAAAUGCAUGUGUUGUGAUACUUGACAUGACAUCAUCCACCCCAGAACGUUUCCGCCGUUCCGGUUUUGGGGUGUGACAGAUUGGUAUCAGAGCCUUGUUUAUAGUGAGCUAAGUAUAUCAAUUCAUAAAAGAUAUACAGCCUAUAAAUACAAAGGGAUAAAACACUCUGACCAAGAAUUAUACUUUAAAAUAUAACCAUAUUUUACCAAAGUAUAAUAACAUCCAAAACCUAAACACUCGAACAAAAGUAUCACAAGAAGAACAAUAAUAAGAGUCAUCGGAUGUUGAGCACUACAGUCAAACCUGGGCAGUUAUGUAAUCGUAAGCUGGGAUAAAUGUAACCUAAUCAACUACAUUUAUCCGAGAUGCGAUGAACGUGUGCUCGGGAGUGAUAGUGGUGUACAACAGGUCUGAAACUUACCAACUAGGAUUUGCUAGAGCCAUACAUAAAGUUAAAAUACUAUAGGAGUAUUUUAGAACGCUAAAAGAUUCACACUAAUCCCAGAAUCAUAAUCAGAAGAUAAGAAUCAAACAAGAAUUAAAAUACCAUACGGGUAUUUUAGGACACAUAAACAACCUUGCGUGAAUAACUAAAAAGAUCCUUAUUGAUAUACCUACAACUACAGAGGGUAUACUCCCAAGGUUAUAUAUAAUAAGGAUCCCAUAGGCUAAGAAUGUGUGGUUUCGCCCUAUUUCCUUUUCCUCGUUGGGAUGUGGUUCUAGAGUAGUAUCACAAAUUCGAAGGCCUAUCGGAUCUAAGCUAUAUAUGAUUUGUAUACCCUGUGUAAUCGUAGCAGGACUCGAUAUGGAUCAUACAGUAAAAUGUUAAUAAUCUCUUAGGAUUAUUUAGACAUUUCCAUUCUCGCGCGAACCCUGUAGAAAAACCCACUUCAGUGCUUGACAGAAGAGUUGAUUCCGACCCCGAGGAGGUUCAUCGAGAAGAUUUCCUGUUCGGAAAUAAAUGAACUGGGUCGAGACUAUUGAAUGCACCAAGUGCCCGUAUUCUUUUAGGGACAUUGGUGAGAAAUUUGCCUAAACUUCCGAGAUUCCAGUCAUCCAUCAUGAAGCGGUGACACCCAGAGUCGGAAUCAGAAGGAAGGCGGAGUAGAAAUUCAAUAUGUCCAUACGAGAAGAGAACCCUAGGAAACUACCCGAAGGAAACCAACGUCGAUUCCAGUCAAAGAUACGGGGAAGACCGAGGGAGCCAGUAUAUGGAACCCGGGAAUUGUCUUUUCCUCGUAUUCGUCACGAUAAUUCACCCUUAAAAUGAUACAAUUUAGUGAGUUAGUGGUUACACUACUCACACUAUGUGUUAGGUAAAUCGUUGUUUCCCGUUGCUAGAUACACGAUUAGGUUGGAUCCCCGCAUCUCUAUUGAGAGAAUUUUAGCCAUCUGCCCUUGUGAGCCUCUCUUUCCGCAGUUUCGUUCCGAGCCGUUCUCAAAUCUCUCCAGGCCGGAGAGUGAAACCUCUUCCAGUAUAAAGGUAACUUAGUAGGAACGACUCGUAUCUUAUGGCCUUUUUCCGAUACUCAUACACCCACUUCGAUUACCAGGACUACAUCAUAGGGAUGUAGGUCGACACUCAGACGAUCAGUACCCAAGGCACGGGAAAAGUUUAUGCCUACUACAUUCAGGACAGAAAUGUCCAGGGUUAACCAUCGUCUCUCAUUAUCUUCUAUUCCUUUCCAUGUAGAAAAAAAAGCCAUGCCACUGAAGAAGCGUAACCAAUCCACAAGAAAGAAACCUACACUCUUAUUUGAUGAAGCUACGUUCCAAGCUGCAGUCUCAGCAGCCAUAGCAGCUGUCAUGGCUCACCUGAAUGCUAACACCGCCAAUGUUAGCAAGGGCCCUGUCGGGAUUUCCAAUCCUGGCAACGGACAACAACAAACAACACUUUCAUACCCAUUCAUCCAAGAACCUUCACUGAACCCACUAAAGAGAAAACUCAAGAUUGAGGAGGGAAGUACCUCGGCUCAAGGACCUUCCGAAGGGCAACGAGCUGAGGCAGACCAUACCCCUGUCAAUCCUUCCCUCCCGACCUCAAGAAGACCAUACCUAGGAGACCUUCCCCACUGCAACAAGUGCAGCUACCAUCAUCAUGGUGCCUGUCGGGAACUCUAUUGUGCUAGGUGCAACAUGAAGGGACAUACUGCUCGCGUAUGCAGAACUCCGGUGGAGCGUAUUACAUCAACCACCAAUGUGGCGACACGUGCAGUUUGCCACCAAUGCGGUGAAGUGGGACACUUCAAGAAGGACUGCCCAACCGGAGGGAAAGACAAAGACACAGAAGGAGCAUGACACUACUGCUUAGGGAGAAGCGGCAAGGAACUCAUUAGAUUUUGGUACGUCUCUCGAUCUCGAAUAACAAAUCUAAGAACAAUAAAAGACUAAUUCAAAUGUAAAUUCUUCCUAGUAAGGCAAAAGUCGCAGCACUGCUAUAAAAUUUAAAAUUCAUUAGGUAAAACUAUAAUGGCUAAACAUAUACGUUACGACCAUGUAUAUUUAAGAUGGACAGACCUAGAGUGAGCGAAUGCCGCCUCAUUUCCUGUUUCUCGUUUGGUUGUGGAUUUAGGGCGGGGUCGCUCAGUCAACAGUCCUCCCCACCUUAAAUAUACAUGACUAGUAUAUGUGAGGCGAUUAUAGAAAUGCCUCGUGAGAAUCCGUUCAUGAAAAGAUACUCUAUUCGGAAACACUUAGGACUCUCUGUAGUUCUGCGUCGACUCUAUCGGUCCAAGUAUCCGCGGUAGUGAUACAUAGGACGAAACCCGAGACGCCUAGAACUUGUGUGCCUGUUCGGCACAUGACUCUAUCGAUCUUCACUUUACAUCAUGUCGGAGUGUGCCAACUUCGACGACUCUAUUGAUCAUGGUUUGACUUCGUGCAACCAUGUGUACAUUCUUAGUGUUGUGUAAAAGAACUUUCUCCAUAGCCAUGUCGGCAAAUAAAGGUUCUUCCGAACCUAAACCUAACUCAAAUAAUCAAACAUAAUGCGAUCCGUCAAUCGUUCCCCUUAUCUCAAACCUUCCGAAGUACCCAAGGGAGGGUACCGUACACUGUGACCGACCCCUCGUAGUCAGAUAAACACCGAAGCGAAAGGCACUGCAGAUACUCUAAGAAGACGACCACCAUCCGAAGCAUACUCCGUAGAAUCCCCCGAGAGACCCUUCGCACCUCGCACAUCAGGUUCGUGAACCCAGAGAAUAGAACUCAUAAGGCUGACCACUAUAACCAGGUAUACUGUUGGCAUACAUCAAGUAUUGGCGGUUAAGCCAAGCAUGAGCUCUACCACGGACCUCUUCGCAAAACACUCUCACCCUAUUCCAUAACAUAGGAGUCGGAGUCAAGAGAAUCACUGCGAGUUGAGCCAGUAAAGUUCCGAGUGAUGAAGACUCUAUACCCACGAGCUUUGACCUAGACCGAGAAAACUCAGAACCUUCGGAAGAGUAGUUGCAGUAGAUGCCCGCACUACUCAUGCACCUCGUCCACCCAGUUAUAGACAAGUGGUGCUUAUCAUCCUCCACCCUCUCGCAAGGAGGAAAUCGUCGUCGCCCUGUUGACGAUGAAUUACACUUUCCGAAUUGAACACUAGGAUACCGAGAACCACAGGAUAACCUUCGCAGCCAAGAAUACUUCGCCAAGUACGAAAGUAGUUGCGUUAAGCCUCAUGACCCAUAUCCCGAAGAGAUCAUAGGCUUGACACCAGCCCUGGCGUUAGUCGAAGGGUUAUGCAGGAACAUGCACUUUCCACGCUAGAAUAAACCACAGUCUUAGAGAUUCCUUGAACUAUUAGGUGUUCCACGAAUACUAUCUCACGCAGAGAUAGAAGAACGUUUCCGCCGUUCCGGUUUUGGGGUGUGACAGUUAGAAACGCAUUUCAUAUGUCAAAAAGUUUUUAAUUCUCUGACUGCAUCAUAAAUAUAAUAGUAUUAAAAAACCCCACCAUCAACAUCCUAUUAGAAUUUAUAAAUCAUAACUUUGAAAAAAAAUAUAAUAAAUAAAUAAAUUAUCAUUUUGUUUCUAAAAAUUAUAAUCAUAAGUUUUUCAAGUUUAAAUAUUAACAAAUAAAAAAUCUUGAAAAUAAAAUAACAAGAAUAAAUUAUUAAAUAUGUCUCAAGAAAUAGAAAAUACACCAAUCAUUAUUAAUAACGAAGAAAAUGAAUCGGGAUACACAUUUGAUGCUCUAAUUAUUAAAAAUAAUAUUAAUAAAGAUGCUAUAAGAAAAUCAAAUUUUACACUAUCAGAAAAACAUAAUUUUAGAUAUUACUCAUUAAGAGAAGAUUAUACAUUAAUGAUGCGGUGGAUUAUAUUGAUGAUGGAUUAUGUUGAAUGAUUGGAUGAUUGUGUGGAUAAUUUGGAUAGGGCUCUGCUAUUCAGAAAUAGAACAACUAUUUCAACAGAGAAAACAAUUGAGAUCAACUCAAGUCUUAAACACUCAAACUUAACCUGUUUAUUUCAUAUGGGCAAAGGCCCUAUUCAAAGGAUCAAGAGAGUCGGUUACAAUUAUUGUUGCAAUCGUUUGAUUGCAAUACGACAUACAUAUUUACAUUAUAGCCCCCUAAACUAUUGAGGGUUACACACUUUAUGUUACAUCACAAAUAAUACAACCGACACUUAAUAAUUAUCNAAAAAAAACACCCGACACUUAAUAAUUAUCCUACCGACACUUCUAUUGAAUUACGUAAAAAUAACAAUCCUUUAUUUAAGACACGUGUCCUUUCAACGUGGAAGGGAUUGUUAUUUUUACGUAAUUAAAUAGAAGUGUCGGUAGGAUAAUUAUUAAGUGUCGGUUGUAUUAUUUGUGAUGUAACAUCAAGUGUGUAACCCUCAAUAGUCUAGUGGGCUAUAAUGUAAAUAUGUAUGUCGUAUUGCAAUCAAAUGAUUGCAACAAUAAUUGUAACCGACUCUCUUGAGCAUCAAAAGUGUAUCCCACUUCAUUUUCUUCGUUAUUAAUCAGGAUUUGUGUAUUUUCUUUUUCUUGAGACAUAUUUAAUAAAUUAUUCUUGUUAUUUUAUCUUCAAGAUUUUUUAUUUGUUAAUAUUUAAACAUGAAGAACUCAUGAUUAUAAUUUUUAGAAACAAAAUGAUGAUUUAUUUUUUCUUUAAAAGUUACGAUUUAUAAAUUCUAAUAAGAUGUUGAUGGUGGGGUUUUCUAAUACUAUUAUAUUUAUGAUGCAGUUAGAGAAUUAAAAACCUCUUUGACAAAUCAAAUAUGUUUCUAACUUCUUGGUACAUAGUCAUAAUUAUAAAAAACCUUCUACCGACAUAUGUUUAAAUUGUAGGUGGAUAGUAGUAUUUAAUUUUAAUAAUGAGUUUAUGAUAAUAACUUAUAACGACGAAUGUUUGUAACGAUAAAUAUUUAUAAGAAUAUAUAUGAUGAUGCAUGAUGAACAUAUAUUCAUAUGAACGAAAGACUUAAUAUUCAAAAUAAUAGUAAGAACGUUACUUAGCUGUGAUACCAAAUUUAAAAUAACAUGACGACGGAUUAAUUGCUCUCAUACCAAAUUUAAAGACAUGACGGAAUUAAUAAAGAUUAAGAGAAGAUUAUACAUAAAUGAUGCGCUGGAUUAUAUUGAUGAUGGAUUAUGUUGAAUAAUUAGAUGGUUAUGUGGAUAAUUUGGAUAGAACUCUGCUAUUUAGAAAUAGAACAACUAUUUCAACAGAGAAGACAAUUGAGAUCAACUCAAGUCUUAAACACUCAAACUUAACUUGUUUAUUUCAUUUGGGCAAAGGCCCUAUUUAUAGGCUCAAGAGAGCCGGUUACAAUUAUUGUUGCAAUCGUUUGAUUGCAAUACAACAU
rnacentral:lncRNA from 1 species